GACGAACGCUGGCGGCGUGCUUAACACAUGCAAGUCGAACGGAAAGGCCCUGCUUUUGUGGGGUGCUCGAGUGGCGAACGGGUGAGUAACACGUGAGUAACCUGCCCUUGACUUUGGGAUAACUUCAGGAAACUGGGGCUAAUACCGGAUAGGAGCUCCUGCUGCAUGGUGGGGGUUGGAAAGUUUCGGCGGUUGGGGAUGGACUCGCGGCUUAUCAGCUUGUUGGUGGGGUAGUGGCUUACCAAGGCUUUGUCGGGUAGCCGGCCUGAGAGGGUGACCGGCCACAUUGGGACUGAGAUACGGCCCAGACUCCUACGGGAGGCAGCAGUGGGGAAUAUUGCACAAUGGGCGGAAGCCUGAUGCAGCAACGCCGCGUGCGGGAUGACGGCCUUCGGGUUGUAAACCGCUUUCGCCUGUGACGAAGCGUGAGUGACGGUAAUGGGUAAAGAAGCACCGGCUAACUACGUG
rnacentral:rRNA from 1 species